rnacentral:rRNA from 1 species
GAUGAACGCUGGCGGCGUGCCUAAUACAUGCAAGUCGAGCGAACGGACGAGAAGCUUGCUUCUCUGAUGUUAGCGGCGGAUGGGUGAGUAAAACGUGGAUAACCUAUCUAUAAGAAUGGGAUAACUUCGGGAAAACGGAGCUAAUACCGGAUGAUAUUUUGAACCGCAUGGUUCAAAAGUGAAAGACGGUCUUGCUGUCACUUAUAGAUGGAUCCGCGCUGCAUUAGCUAGUUGGUAAGGUGACGGCUUACCAAGGCAACGAUGCAUAGCCGACCUGAGAGGGUGAUCGUCCACACUGGAACUGAGACACGGUCCAGACUCCUACGGGAGGCAGCAGUAGGGAAUCUUCCGCAAUGGGCGAAAGCCUGACGGAGCAACGCCGCGUGAGUGAUGAAGGUCUUCGGAUCGUAAAACUCUGUUAUUAGGGAAGAACAUAUGUGUAAGUAACUGUGCACAUCUUGACGGUACCUAAUCAGAAAGCCACGGCUAACUACGUG